GAUGAACGCUGGCGGCGUGCCUAAUACAUGCAAGUCGAGCGAACAGACGAGGAGCUUGCUCCUCUGACGUUAGCGGCGGACGGGUGAGUAACACGUGGAUAACCUACCUAUAAGACUGGGAUAACUUCGGGAAACCGGAGCUAAUACCGGAUAAUAUAUUGAACCGCAUGGUUCAAUAGUGAAAGACGGUUUUGCUGUCACUUAUAGAUGGAUCCGCGCCGCAUUAGCUAGUUGGUAAGGUAACGGCUUACCAAGGCAACGAUGCGUAGCCGACCUGAGAGGGUGAGCGGCCACACUGGAAGGGAGACACGGUCCAGACUCCUAAGGGACGGAGCAGUAGGGAAUCUUCCGCAAUGGGCGAGAGCCUGACGGAGCAACGCCGCGUGAGUGAUGAAGGUCUUCGGAUCGUAAAACUCUGUUAUUAGGGAAGAACAAAUGUGUAAGUAACUAUGCACGGCUUGACGGUACCUAAUCAGAAAGCCACGGCUAACUACGUG
rnacentral:rRNA from 1 species